UAGGAGUCGUCGUCGACGGUGGCGUCUGGCUCCUGGGCUCCAACAUCUGGUUGCAACAACCAGGUAGAAGGGAUAGGGGAAAAGAAGGAGAAAGCAACCGUGAGUACUCAUCCAAAGUACUCACAAGCAAGGAGCUACACUACAUAUGUAUGCAUUGGUAUCAAAUGGAAUAAGGGUAUCAUAUGUGAACUGAACUGCAGAAUGCCAGAAUAAGAGGGGGAUAGCUAGUCCUAUCGAAGACUACGCUUCUGGUAACCUCCAUCUUGCAGCAGAAGAAGAGAGUAGAUGGUAAAUUCACCAAGUAGCAUCGCAUAGCAUAAUCCUAACCGAUGAUCCUCCCCUUGUCGCCCUAUGAGAGAGCAAUCACCGGUUGUAUCUGGCAGUUGGAAGGGUGUGUUUUAUUAAGUAUCCGGUUCUAGUUGUCAUAAGGUCAAGGUACAACUCCAAGUCGUCCUGUUACCGAAGAUCAUGGCUAUUCGAAUAGAUUAACUUCCCUGUAGGGGUGCACCACAUAACCAACACGCUCGAUCCCAUUUGGCCGGACACACUUUCCUGGGUCAUGCCCGGCCUCGGAAGAUCAACACGUCGCAGCCCUACCUAGGCACAACAGAGAGGUCAGCACGCCGGUCUAAAUCCUAUGGCGCAGGGGUCUGGGCCCAUCGCCCAUUGCACACCUGCACGUUGCGAGGGCGACCGGAAGUAGACCUAGCCUAGCAGGCGUUCCAGUCCAAUCCGGCGCGCGCCGCUCAGUCGCUGACGUCACGAAGGCUUCGGCUGAUACCACGACGUCGAGUGCCCAUAACUGUCCCCGUGUAGAUGGUUAGUGCGUAUAGGCCAGUAGCCAGACUCAGAUCAAAUACCAAGAUCUCAUUUAACAUGUUAAGUAUCUGCGAAUGCCGACCAGGGCCAGGCCCACCUCUCUCCUAGGUGGUCUCAACCUGCCCUGUCGCUCCUCCACAAAGUAACAGUCGGGGGCCGUCGGGAACCCAGGCCCACCUCUACCGGGAUGGAUCCACCUGUCCCUUCAGCCGCCAUCUCCGAACAGUAUCAUGGGUAAUGUAACAAUGUAAAGUAUAUAGUAUAUGCCCAUGAUCACCUCCCGAAGUGAUCACGGCCUAGUAGUAUAGCAUGUUAAGUAUCUGCAAGUAGUAGGGGUCGUCUUCGAUGUAGUCGAACACACGAACAUCGACAGCGGUCUCGAAGUCUACCGGAAAUAAGUAACGGAGGGGAACACAAUAAAUAACAGAGCAAUCAAAUGUAACACAAAGCAAGACGCGGCAAUACGUUGUGCUAGGGGUGACCUAACGCAGGGAUAGGUGAUACCGGUGAAAGGGGAAAACAUCCGGGAAAGUAUCCCCGGUGUUCCGCGUUUUCGGACAGGUGAACUAGAGGGGGAAAGUUGCGAGUUCGGUAUGUUAGGGAUGUGUGGCGAACGAACGGGUUGUGUAUCCGGGUUCGUCUCGUCGUUCUGAGAAACUUUCAUGUACAAAGUAUUUUCAUCGGAGUUACGGAUUAUUUUACAUUAAUUUUUAAAGUUUUAACACAUUUUCUAAUUUACUGGAUUUAAUUGAAUUCGAAAAAUAAUAUACACUAAUUGCUAUGGGUACACAGAGAAGUGUACCCAGGGGUGUAAUGUGUGGCUGACAGUGGGCCACGGUCAAAGUCAACAAUACCAGUCAAAAGUUGAUUCAGUCAACGUUGACUGGUCAACAUGGUCAAACGGGCCCGCAUGGCAUAGGCUAUACCUAUUCAAAUAAUUAAAACCAACCUAAUCAAGUGGGGUUCACGUGUCAUAUGUAUAUUAGGCAAUUUACUCCACUAACCUAAUCCUAAAACUAUCCUACCUCUAAUUAACUAAGCGGCCAGAAGCAAUGGCUAUGCACGUAAUGCACACACGCACGCCCAUGGCCAAGUUACAGCAGCGGCUAGUAGCAAACAACGGCAGCAGCAGCAGCUUGUAGUAGCGCAGCGGCAAGCGCCAGCAGCAGCGGCGGCUAUGAGCAUUCACGGUCAAGGGCGGCUGCAAGGGAGCGACCACAGGCAAGGGUAGCAGAAGCAGCAGGUGCGCAACGGAGCAGGGGAGCGCGCGGAACGCCGUCUGAAGGCGGGCGCGACGGCCGCACGCGCGGGAGGCGGCUGCGGGCGAGCACAGCCGUCCGCGCCGCGGGCACGGUGCAGGGCUUGGACGGGGCCUGGCAGGCGCGUGGGCGCGCAGUUGGGGACACGCACGGGGCGGCCAGGAGCUAGAGAGCUCGUACGCGGACUCAAAGCUAUGGCCAUGGCGACUACAACGAGCAUAAGGCAAAGGCUACAGCUACGGAUUGAAGUUGGGAACGAGGGGAAUCGGUCGGGGACCUCACCGCGAACCUGUAGAGGUGCAAAGCAAGCUCGGGGAAGGCUUGGAGGCGACAAAUCGAAGCGGCGAUGAGCGGCGGCCGGAGGUGGAAGAAGACUCGAUGCAGGCGAUGUAGUGGCGCCGAGCUUCAAUGGGAGGCAGUAGAGGAAGUAGCGGGCGACGGCGAAGUCCAGGGGCACGACCUCAGGCUUCGGGGAUGACGGGGAGUGCGCGAAUGACGACGGCCAUGGUGGUGGUGGUUCGGGUGUGUGCGGGGAGGAAGAGCGCGGCACGAGGGGGAAGGAGUGGACGACUAGGGUUCGAUACAGGGGAUGAGGGCGUCUGGGGGCGGCUCUUGUAGCCGUCGGGGAGGCGAGGAUGGCCGCCACGGCGACAUGCUCCGGCCACAACCGGGGGAUCUNNNNNNNNNNNNNNNNNNNNNNNNNNNNNNNNNNNNNNNNNNNNNNNNNNNNNNNNNNNNNNNNNNNNNNNNNNNNNNNNNNNNNNNNNNNNNNNNNNNNNNNNNNNNNNNNNNNNNNNNNNNNNNNNNNNNNNNNNNNNNNNNNNNNNNNNNNNNNNNNNNNNNNNNNNNNNNNNNNNNNNNNNNNNNNNNNNNNNNNNNNNNNNNNNNNNNNNNNNNNNNNNNNNNNNNNNNNNNNNNNNNNNNNNNNNNNNNNNNNNNNNNNNNNNNNNNNNNNNNGUGGCUACUUGGGCCAGCCGGUGCCCUGGAUGCUCAGUUGGGCCGAACGGCCCAGGGGGAGCGGGGGGCUUUGCCCCUUUUUUUUAGUUGUUGUUUGUUUUUCCUUUUGCUUUUGUUUAAUUUUUCUUUUACAGUUUUAGUUUAGUUUCUUUAAUAGUUUAUAGUUUUACAAAAACAUAAAAGCAAGCCUUGAUUUAGUAUAAAUGAUUAUGUUACUGCCCUGUUAAUCUUGGGCAACUAAAUAAAUAAUUUAUUAAUUUAUAAAAUACCAAAGGCAUGUAUUUAAAUGUUUUACCUGAUGUAAUAAUUAUUUAUGAGCACUUAAACCUUUUCUAAAAUUGUGGUUUCUCCAUCAUAAUUACUUAUGAUUUAUUUGACACAACCCGAACAUUUUAGUUUUAAUUUUUUUGAAAACUUUUGUUGUUUGUCUUUAUUUUAAAUUUGAAUUUGAAUCAUUUUUGAACCAUCGCGAGAUUAACAACAAUAACUGAGGUGACGUGGUAUCAUUAGCGUGGAGUUAUUGUAGCUUAAUUAUCCGGACGUCACAAUUCUCCUCCACUACAAGAAAUCUCGUCCCGAGAUUUAAGAGGUAGAGAGGGGGAAGGUCUAGUUACGAAAUUCUAACGAAUCUUCUUGGUCUUGGUUGCUCUUCUCGAAGAGGUCAAUCCAUUAUGUUGUUUUCUUCAUUUCUCUACUUCAGAUCAUCAUGAUGAAGUCGUCAUCCUUCGAGAAUUCCAUCGUACUUACGAAUAGGUAAGGGUGGCUUGGCAACGAUAGAAUGCUAAGAGGGUAUUCAUCUGGGGUUAACCCAUGAAUGAACAUAUGAGUAUCUCUCGAGUUGGAACUUAGAAAAUACAUCGAGAGACAUAAUAGUAAGCAUGAGAAUUUUCAAGCGGGUAGGCAAACGUUCGAUGCCUGAAACGGAGUGUGAGAGGGGUUUAGUGCAUCAGAAUAAGUAUUGCGGCUAAAACUAGAAUUGAUGAUCUCUCGAAAGGUAGCUCGUGAAUUACGUAUGAAGCCACGCGUGAGGAAUAACAAUGGAAACAUGGGGUGUACAGGAGUCAGGUUUCGAUCCUGUGGAGCUGUGGGUUAUGGGCCCACCAUGUGGGUUAAAAGCAGGGAGGGCGUUGUCAUCUUGCACGAUCAUGAGAGCAAGGCAUGUCAGAGAAGAGACUAUCAGUUAUGUCGGCAACAAUAUCGAUACCAAGGGCGAGGGAUGAAGAGAACCAAUUUCCUGCUCGUUGAACGAGGCGGACCAAUAGGCAAAGUUCUCGUCCAUCGGUGGUUACCGGGAUGUCAUCAACAAUAGUAACAGGGUCUUACUGGCAGAGUUGUUCACCGAUGUGUUUGCACAAGCAGGGAAUUUUUACUGCUUAUAUCAUAUAGAUCAUAGAAAUGGUUAAACAAACCAAUGGAAAGGGAAAAGUGUCUAUCAGAUUUAAUCAGAACAAUGGAAAGAAGAAUGUGUUUAAACACAUAAUUCAGAGGUAUAUCCUUCCCAAGGACAAGCAGAGCAUGAUAUCCAUGACAGGAUAGAAAGUAGAAAACCAUUUUGGUAAGGGGAGAGGAAUUUCAUAACAUUACCCAUACAAUGGUGUUGGAUAAUUGAUAAAGAAAUUUUAGCAUGGUGCUUUAAAUGUUCUUAUCGAAGAUCGGAGUACCACAGACAUGCUUCGAGAUAGCAUUGACAUGGUCUUCAAGCAAAGGUCAGACUUUGGAUACACAAAGGAUCCAUCAGGAACAACUUAUAAAAUAAACCUUAUGGUUUCCUCAUGGAAGAAUGGUUAACCUUGCUAAAAGGGAACUACAACACUAGGUCCUUCGGCCAGGUGUGCUAGGCAUGUCAUCACCUUACCGGGUCAUGUAGAGACCAAUGUUAUAACUCUUGGAAAUAUGUCCCACCCAUCAUAUCUGACCGAGAUCCAGAUCCGGUUGGUGUCAGGAUACCUCAGACUCUGGAUGUCCGAGAAGAAAAGGUGCAACACAAAUAGACGAAAUGACAUUACAAGAUUCUCGGGAAAUGAACUAUGGGAGUGGGUUCCUGGAACAAAAGUUCAUCAUUAAACCAAGGAGGGGAUGAAAAGGUGGCUGAUGGGCUCAGCGACAAUUCAUCGAGAAUUCCAAACGGAUGGCUUUCCACAAUAAUGUGAACAAAGAGAUAACACUAGUCAGAUCAAAUGAUAUAAUGAGGUAUGCUCGAGGAAAACAUACCCAGUUAAACAUUGGUUGAAAGGUGCACCCGAAAUAUGGACUUAGGUAGCAUGACCAAUGUUAGAAUGGUGAUUCGAUAAUCAAUGGUCUAAGAAUGAAAUAUCGACCAUUAACUUCAAACAAUAGGGUUGCUAGAAGUUUUGAAUUCACACAUCAUAGUCCAGUUGUCGGUAUUCCGGUUAGAAACAACAAGGAGGGACUAAGGAAUGAACGGAGAUGGCGAGAAGUAAUAAUAUAUCAAGAAUUCCCAAGAGGUGGAGAAAUUCUCACGACAUUCUUGACAUAACAGAUGUUAAUACUUCAAGGUAAAGAAGGACAAUUGCUGGAUAGCAUGGAUCUCAAGGGACAACACGAAACACGAACAAGUUUGUGUUGAACGCAAGGCAAUAAGGUGGUCGAUGAUAACACCAAUCAUCGAGGGGCAAGGAUGGUAUUUCCCAUCAUGAAUUCGAUUGAUAUCCUGGAAGAGUUCAGAAGGUUAAUGAUGAUCGCGACACAAUUGUCGAGAGAUUUCAUGAAGGUGUAAUCGAUCGAUGAUGGCUUCAAGUCAAAUGAAUGAUGAAGCGAAAGGUUAAUGGAACCAUGGGUAUGAAACAAACUUGAAAUCAAGUUUGUUGUUUGAGGUGAAACGAUAAGACAAGGAAGAUCGACGUAAGCUUAGCUCAUCGUCGAAAUUGUGCUCCGGAAAGAAGGACCAGGUAGCACAGUUAAAAUUUGGCACGAUAAUGAUAUUGCCGAGCAGGCUCGGAAUGACGUGAUCGAGUUCAGACUCUUAAGUAAUGAAGGUUACUAAGAGUUGUUGAAUCGUAGUGCGGACUCAAUUCAGUUGUCGGUGUCCUUGAGGGGUUCUAACAACUGAGAACCCGUUGGAAAAAUGGAAUCGGCAAGAAUAUUAGUUGAUGAAGAACUCAUAAGAAGUUAUGUAUUCCGUGGUAUCCUCGAGAUACCAGGGGGUAAUACUCGAUGACAGAUCAAAGUAGAGGUUGGACUGGGGUAUUGCUCUGCAGAAGACAAGUGCUUAAACUUGCACGAGAAAUGGUACCUAAAAGAGAACAUGGUCGAAACCACGAUUGCAAAAGGCCAGAUCCUAGAUAUAAUAUGAACUUAUACCAAGGGAGUAAUUAAUUUAAGAGAAUCUUUAAUGAUAAGAUCUACAUCGUGUCCAUGGGCAUGAACACAAAGUUCAAGGUCGACUCCCACUUCUUCAAUGCAUAACCUUACAUUUACCUCCCCUUUUCGAAGUUGUAGUGUUGAAAAGUUAUAUGACGAUGCGUCAGCAGGGUAUAACCCGCAUAACUUUCGAGGUCACACAAAUUAAGGAAGGCAUAGGUUCAACCCGUCAGGGUAUCGUGGAAACAUAUACCACAAGCUUUGAGAGUAAAUAUUACCAGCUCGAAAGCAGAGCAUGGUUGGCAAAAAGGAGAGGAUACAAAUUACCAAAGGCAUUAUGUAUCAGAGAAAGAACUCACAAGGUGAUUAAUUAUGAAGGACAUUGUCGGAUAAUAAUCCAACAGUGGAUAUGGUGAUCCACACUGGAGCUGAUGUGAGUAUCUAUACCCAAUCAGAGGAAGAAAGAAUGCAAAUGCAUCGUUUUACAGAACAUCUGAAUAAUUCAACGUCUAAAUAACAAAGGAAUUAUGAUUUUCAAAUCAAGGGAUCAGGAGCAAAUGCUCUGAUCAAGGAUGGUGAUAUGGGCAUGGCAUCAUCAAUUGUUAAUUCUAUCGAAGCUAAGGCAGUUAAGCAGAGAGGUCAUAAAAAUGUUACGGAAACUAAUGCCAUGCAAGCGGUCAGAUUUCAUCGAGGAAAGGAUGGUCAUGUACGUGAACUUUGUGGGCCAAGAAUCAAUUUGGCAAUUAGCAGACCAGAGACCAAUUAUAUGAUGCAUGCAUUGAAACCAGGAGAUGUCAUUGGCACGUUAGUGCAGAGGCCUAUACGCAUGGAGUCUAAAGGUGUACAAUUAUGUUUGAUCAAAGUGAAGAGAGAAGAAAAGUCACAUACGCAUAAAAUGGCAGGAGAUCAAAUUGGUUUUCAGAAUAAAAAGGAAUCAGAAGGGCACCAUGCAUCUUACAAGAAAAUACAGGAGAUUAAGGCAGAGCCAGCGCUGGCUUCGGUGGAGCCUAAUUUUCGUACCCCUCCGUAUCAAGUUGCGAUAGGUAGAAUCCUGGUGCAGAUUUGUUAGAUUCUUAUCCUUUUGUUUGAGUCAACGAGCUAGCUAGCUAGCACGUACGUGAGUCCUUGUCCUUUUCUUGUUAGGAUUUGUUUUUCCUAGUUAGCACAUGACGUGAGGGAGUUGGAGUCUAAGCAUCUAGGUCUAAAGUUGACGUACUAUUUUUUGGCAUAUAAAAAGCCAGGCUACGGCCUUGUAAUCAGAUCAGUUUUUGUUUAUCCGUGAGUUAUGAAAAAACUCAGAAAACGUCCAUGUUUCGGACGACUCAAUUGUGAGUAUUUUCUGUGAUUUUUUCCAUCGAGAAAAUCUAUUAGCGACGGAGGGUUGAUCAUCAUAUCGACGCCUACGUGCUGAUCCGAGGGGAUCGUUAUUUUUGUUCGUGUAUUUUCAUACACGGGUGAAUCUUAUUAUUGGAGGUUGAGGGACCAGGUGGAAGAACAGUUGAUCAAGGAUCGUCGUGAAAGAUCGGGCCAUCUAAACGCGCGAAUUAGCAUCUCGCUAGUUUGUGCUUCAUCAAGUGGUAUCAGAGCAAAGGUUAGUCACGGCGACACAAUUUGCAAUAUCGUCUAUGGAGUCGAGCAUCAAGGCGUUGAGCAGGAACAUAUUGAUGGAGGAGGAAGGCAUCGGCGAGGUCGUUCUUUUUCACACUCGUUGCGUCGUGAAGGAACGGCGUGUUAAUUUGACGAUCGAUGAAGGUUCUACGGUCAACAUGGUGAGCACCGAGGUGGUGGAAAAAUUGGGGCUGAAUAUGGCGCCUCUUGAAAGACCGUACACGCUGAAGUGGUUUAAAGGUGAAAUCAAAAUUACUCACCAGAUUUUGCUAAUUUUUGACUUGGGAAAAUAUUGUUGUGCGGAAUUUUUUCACGUUUGCCCUGUGCCCAUGGUGUCGUGCCAUAUGCUACUUGGGAACCCAUGGUGCAAACGUGUUGGGGCAGUUCGGAAUGUCAAGAAAAAUACUUACUCGCUAUCAUGGAAGGGCCAACGAGUUUGUUUUACUCCAAUGCCAACAGAUGUAUUUGUUUCAGAUUGGAAAAGUCGUUUGCUGAAAAGAAGAGAAGAGGAAGAAGAAAUAAAGGAAGAAAUCGAUGCACCGAUAGAAGGGCUGAAUCUUUUGGUGGAGAAGGUGCGAGAGGAUGGUGGUGCAAAGGGGCAGCGGUGGACUGUUUUUAAAACACAGUGUAAGAUCAAGAAUCGUGCUUGCAAGAUGAUAAUUGAUGGUGGCAGCUUUACCAACGCCAUUAGCAAAGAUCUAGUGCAAGCUUUGGGUUUAUCCACGUGGCGGCAUCCAUAUCCGCACCAUGUUGAGUGGUUGUACAAUUCCAGAAAAUUAAAGAUCACACACAAGGUACGUGUAACUUUUGCGGUUGGAGAUUAUAUUGACAAGGUGGACUAUGACGUUGUGCCAAUGAACGUGUGUCAGUUGUUAUUGGGAAGACCAUGGCAAUUCGAUCAUGAUGCAGUGCAUUCUGGAAGAUCCAACACAUACAUGUUCAUGCAUGAUGGAAAGAGACGUAUGCUGAAACCAAUGGCAGACAGUGCAAUCACCACAGAUAUGCAAAUACCGGAGAGGAAGGCUGCACAUAACUUAGACCCGAAACCGAGGAGGUUUCGUUUAAAGGGAGGGAGGAUGAUACGGGCAUGGCAUCAUCAAUUGUUAAUUCUAUCGAAGCUAAGGCAGUUAAGCAGAGAGGUCAUAAAAAUGUUACGGAAACUAAUGCCAUGCAAGCGGUCACAUUUCAUCGAGGAAAGGAUGGUCAUGUACGUGAACUUUGUGGGCCGAGAAUCAAUUUGGCAAUUAGCAGACCAGAGACCAAUUAUAUGAUGCAUGCAUUGAACCCAGGAGAUGUCAUUGGCACGUUAGUGCAGAGGCCUAUACGCAUGGAGUCUAAAGGUGUACAAUUAUGUUUGAUCAAAGUGAAGAGAGAAGAAAAGUCACAUACGCAUAAAAUGGCAGGAGAUCAAAUUGGUUUUCAGAAUAAAAAGGAAUCAGAACGGCACCAUGCAUCUUACAAGAAAAUACAGGAGAUUAAGGCAGAGCCAGCGCUGGCUUCGGUGGAGCCUAAUUUUCGUACCCCUCCGUAUCAAGUUGCGAUAGGUAGAAUCCUGGUGCAGAUUUGUUAGAUUCUUAUCCUUUUGUUUGAGUCAACGAGCUAGCUAGCUAGCACGUACAUGAGUCCUUUUCCUUUUCUUGUUAGGAUUUGUUUUUCCUAGUUAGCACAUGACGUGAGGGAGUUGGAGUCUAAGCAUCUAGGUCUAGAGUUGACGUACUAUUUUUUGGCAUAUAAAAAGCCAGGCUACGGCCUUGUAAUCAGAUCAGUUUUUGUUUAUCCGUGAGUUAUGAAAAAACUCAGAAAACGUCCAUGUUUUAGACGACUCAAUUGAGAGUAUUUUCUGUGAUUUUUUUCCAUCGAGAAAAUCUAUUAGCGACGAAGGGUUGAUCAUCAUAUCGACGCCUACGUGCUGAUCCGAGGGGAUCGUUAUUUUUGUUCGUGUAUUUUCAUACACGGGUGAAUCUUAUUAUUGGAGGUUGAGGGACCAGGUGGAAGAACAGUUGAUCAAGGAUCAUCGUGAAAGAUCGGGCCAUCUAAACGCGCGAAUUAGCAUCUCGCUAGUUUGUGCUUCAUCAGAUGGACAAGUUGAAUAGACUUAGGGGUACAAUCGAUGGCAAUCUGAUUGGCCGAGGACCAGCUCACGUUUUAAAUGACAUCUGAGCCGGAAGGAUGAAUUCUAUGAUCUGAGUGAGGAUUGCGAGCAUUCGUAACAUAUUGAAUCAAUGGACUCAAAAUGAUAUUGACAAAGGUUGCCAAUAAGAUUACUAUACUUAUGGGAUUAACCAUAAUGCAAGCAAGCAAGAAUCAGGAGCAAUAGGUUGCUCAGGAUUUUCGGAAGACCGAAUGGUAUUUCGAAGAAUUUUGUGAACUGCAUGAAUAUCUGGGGAUGAGCGGAUACUUGAUAAAUGCGAGAAAUUAUCCGUAGUGGUAUGCAUGUGUCAAAGAACUGCAAGGCAGUAGGCACAAAGUAUUCUCGGGGUAUCCUAUAAUAACAAGAUCGACUGGGAAUAAAAGUAACCACGACAGGUCUAAACACUUAUCCAUAGGGAUAUUUCGGUGGUAGGGAAUUGCAAAAGCAAUGACACAAGGUUUCGGGAGAACAUCGGAGAGUAUUGUCAGAAUCUUCUGUUGAAGCAGUCGAUCAUCUGUAAUGAAGGGGCUCUUCGGCAGGAAGUGAUAACGAGAACCUAGAGUUAGAUUUUAGCAAAAUCAUUUAACCCGAAUAAAAAAGAGAUCAGAAUCCCAGAGUAUAGACGAGGAAUAAAAGAUCCUAAUACCACCCAAUGGCGACGUGGGCCCGUAAGGCACACAGCCAUGUUAGUAAAAGUUUUUCAAUGACUAGACUCGACUUUGGCCAAGGAGUUGGAAAGGGGGAUUCCUACAGGCAGUCGGCUCUGAUACCAACUUGUGACGCCCCCGAUUCAAUCAUACACUAAUCAUACAUGCAAACGUGUACGAUCAAGAUCAGGGACUCACGGGAAGAUAUCACAACACAACUCUACAAAUAAAAUAAGUCAUACAAGCAUCAUAUUACAAGCCAGGGGCCUUGAGGGCUCGAAUACAAGAGCUCGAUCAUAGAUGAGUCAGCGGUAGCAACAAUAUCUGAGUACAGACAUAAGUUAAACAAGUUGCCAUAAGAUGGCUAGUACAAACUGGGAUACAGAUCGAAAGAGGUGCAGGCCUCCUGCCUGGGAUCCUUCUAACUACUCCUGGUCGUCGUCAGCGGGCAUCACGUAGUAGUAGGCACCUCCGGUGUAGUAGGAGUCGUCGUCGAUGGUGGCGUCUCGCUCCUGGGCUCCAACAUCUGGUUGCGACAACCAGGUAGAAGGAAUAGGGGAAAAGAAGGAGAAAGCAACCGUGAGUACUCAUCCAAAGUACUCGCAAGCAAGGAGCUACACUACAUAUGUAUGCAUUGGUAUCAAAUGGAAUAAGGGUAUCAUAUGUGAACUGAACUGCAGAAUGCCAGAAUAAGAGGGGGAUAGCUAGUCCUAUCGAAGACUACGCUUCUGGUAACCUCCAUCUUGCAGCAGAAGAAGAGAGUAGAUGGUAAAUUCACCAAGUAGCAUCGCAUAGCAUAAUCCUAACCGAUGAUCCUCCCCUCAUCGCCCUGUGAGAGAGCGAUCAUCGGUUGUAUCUGGCACUUGGAAGGGUGUGUUUUGUUAAGUAUCCGGUUCUAGUUGUCAUAAGGUCAAGGUACAACUCCAAGUCGUCCUGUUACCGAAGAUCACGGCUAUUCGAAUAGAUUAACAUCCCUGCAGGGGUGCACCACAUAACCCAACACGCUCGAUCCUAUUUGGCCGGACACACUUUCCUGGGUCAUGCCCGGCCUCGGAAGAUCAACACAUCGCAGCCCUACCUAGGCACAACAGAGAGGUCAGCACGCCGGUCUAAAUCCUAUGGUGCAGGGGUCUGGGCCCAUCGCCCAUUGCACACAUGCACGUUGCGAGGGCGGCCGGAAGCAGACCUAGCCUAGCAGGCGUUCCAGUCCAAUCCGGCGCGCGCCGCUCAGUCGCUGACGUCACGAAGGCUUCGGCUGAUACCACGACGUCGAGUGCCCAUAACUGUCCCCGCGUAGAUGGUUAGUGCGUAUAGGCCAGUAGCCAGACUCAGAUCAAAUACCAAGAUCUCGUUUAACAUGUUAAGUAUCUGCGAACGCCGACCAGGGCCAGGCCCACCUCUCUCCUAGGUGGUCUCAACCUGCCCUGUCGCUCCGCCACAAAGUAACAGUCGGGGGCCGUCGGGAACCCAGGCCCACCUCUACCGGGAUGGAGCCACCUCUCUCCCGAAGUGAUCACGGCCAGUAGUAUAGCAUGGUAGACGGACAAGAGUGUAGGGCCACUGAUGGAACACUAGCAUCCUAUACUAAGCAGUAGGAUAGCAGGUAAAGGUAACAAUAGUAGUAGCAAGGACAGGCUAUGCAGCAGUAUAGGAUUAACUGAAAGCAGUAACAUGCUACACUACUCUAAUGCAAGCAGUAUAGAGAAGAAUAGGCGAUAUCUGGUGAUCAAGGGGGGGCUUGCCUGGUUGUUCUGGCAAGUAGUAGGGGUCGUCUUCGAUGUAGUCGAACACACGAACAUCGACAGCGGUCUCGAAGUCUACCGGAAAUAAGUAACGGAGGGGAACACAAUAAAUAACAGAGCAAUCAAAUGUAACACAAAGCAAGACGCGGCAAUACGUUGUGCUAGGGGUGACCUAACGCAGGGAUAGGUGAUACCGGUGAAAGGGGAAAACAUCCGGGAAAGUAUCCCCGGUGUUCCGCGUUUUCGGACAGGUGAACUGGAGGGGGAAAGUUGCGAGUUCGGUAUGUUAGGGAUGUGUGGCGAACGAACGGGUUGUGUAUCCGGGUUCAUCUCAUCGUUCUGAGAAACUUUCAUGUACAAAGUAUUUUCAUCGGAGUUACGGAUUAUUUUAUAUUAAUUUUUAAAGUUUUAACACAUUUUCUAAUUUACUGGAUUUAAUUUAAUUCAAAAAAUAAUAUACACUAAUUGCUAUGGGUAUACAGAGAAGUGUACCCAGGGGUGUAAUGUGUGGCUGACAGUGGGCCACGGUCAAAGUCAACAGUACCAGUCAAAAGUUGAUUCAGUCAACGUUGACUGGUCAACAUGGUCAAACGGGCCCGCAUGGCAUAGGCUAUACCUAUUCAAAUAAUUAAAACCAACCUAAUCAAGUGGGGUUCACGUGUCAUAUGUAUAUUAGGCAAUUUACUCCACUAACCUAAUCCUAAAACUAUCCUACCUCUAAUUAACUAAGCGGCCAGAAGCAAAGCUGGCUAUGCACGUAAUGCACACACGCACGCCCAUGGCCAAGUUACAGCAGCGGUUAGUAGCAAACAACGGCAGCAGCAGCAGCUUGUAGUAGCGCAGCGGCAAGCGCCAGCAGCAGCGGCGGCUAUGAGCAUUCACGGACAAGGGCGGCUGCAAGGGAGCGACCACAGGCAAGGGUAGCAGAAGCAGCAGGUGCGCAACGGAGCAGGGGAGCGCGCGGAACGCCGUCUGAAGGCGGGCGCGACGGCCGCACGCGCGGGAGGCGGCUGCAGGCGAGCACGGCCGUCCGCGCCGCGGGCACGGUGCAGGGCUUGGCCGGGGCCUGGCAGGCGCGUGGGCGCGCAGUUGGGGACACGCACGGGGCGGCGAGGAGCUAGAGAGCUCGUACGCGGACUCAAAGCUAUGGCCAUGGCGACUACAACGAGCAUAAGGCAAAGGCUACAGCUACGGAUUGAAGUUGGGAACGAGGGGAAUCGGUCGGGGACCUCACCGCGAACCUGUAGAGGUGCAAAGCAAGCUCGGGGAAGGCUUGGAGGCGACAAAUUGAAGCGGCGAUGAGCGGCGGCCGGAGGUGGAAGAAGACUCGAUGCAGGCGAUGUAGUGGCGCCGAGCUUCAAUGGGAGGCAGUAGAGGAAGUAGCGGGCGACGGCGAAGUCCAGGGGCACGACCUCAGGCUUCGGGGAUGACGGGGAGUGCGCGAAUGACGACGGCCAUGGCGGUGGUGGUUCGGGUGUGUGCGGGGAGGAAG
rnacentral:lncRNA from 1 species